rnacentral:rRNA from 1 species
CGAUAAAGCGGGUGAAAAGCCCGCUCGCCGGAAGACCAAGGGUUCCUGUCCAACGUUAAUCGGGGCAGGGUGAGUCGACCCCUAAGGCGAGGCCGAAAGGCGUAGUCGAUGGGAAACAGGUUAAUAUUCCUGUACUUGGUGUUACUGCGAAGGGGGGACGGAGAAGGCUAUGUUGGCCGGGCGACGGUUGUCCCGGUUUAAGCGUGUAGGCUGGUUUUCCAGGCAAAUCCGGAAAAUCAAGGCUGAGGCGUGAUGACGAGGCACUACGGUGCUGAAGCAACAAAUGCCCUGCUUCCAGGAAAAGCCUCUAAGCAUCAGGUAACAUCAAAUCGUACCCCAAACCGACACAGGUGGUCAGGUAGAGAAUACCAAGGCGCUUGAGAGAACUCGGGUGAAGGAACUAGGCAAAAUGGUGCCGUAACUUCGGGAGAAGGCACGCUGAUAUGUAGGUGAAGUCCCUCGCGGAUGGAGCUGAAAUCAGUCGAAGAUACCAGCUGGCUGCAACUGUUUAUUAAAAACACAGCACUGUGCAAACACGAAAGUGGACGUAUACGGUGUGACGCCUGCCCGGUGCCGGAAGGUUAAUUGAUGGGGUUAGCG